GCCUAACGGCUGAACUGGCAACUUGGAGAAGUGGCAAGUCUUCCAGUAUGGGGAGCAAAACAGCUAUGGGUCAAGUCCGAUAUCUUUAGGAGAAGUCUUAUUGUGAGGGCGAGUUAUAUAACACCAUAGGACUGGCCGUCCCAUAUGAAAAGAUUAUAUUAGAAUUGAAUGAAGCUUUGUUUAUAUAUUGAUAAUGACAGUAUAUAUAUCGUGUCUUGACUAAUUGCGUGCCAGCAGUCGCGGUAAUACGUAAGAGACUAGUGUUAUUCAUCUUAAUUAGGUUUAAAGGGUACCCAGACGGUCAAUAUAGCUUAUAAAAUGUUAGUACUUGACUAGAGUUUUAUGUAAGAGGGCAGUACUUGAGGAGGAGAGAUGAAAUUUCGUGAUACCAAAGGGACUCUGUAAAGGCGAAGGCAGCCCUCUAUGUAAAAACUGACGUUGAAGGACGAAGGCACAGAGAACAAACAGGAUUAGAUACCCAAGUAGUCUUUGCAGUAAAUGAUGAAUGCCAUAGGUUAGAUUGAUCAAUUAUAGUCUAGGGUUAGUCUAGCAAACUAAUGCCCUAUGAUAUAAUUCAAAAUAUCUGGUCUAUAAAUGAAAGUGUAAGCAUUUCACCUCAAGAGUAAUGUGGCAACGCAGGAACUGAAAUCACUAGACCGUUUCUGACACCAGUA
rnacentral:rRNA from 3 species